rnacentral:siRNA from 1 species
AUAAACUGGGAUCUAACAAUGCA